CAGAUGCUGAGCCUGUAUCCAGCAACUCAGGUCCAAACAGUCAUUUACAACCAGAUACCAGUGGCAGGAGUUCAGACAGUUCUGGAACUGAGACCGAUGACAGCGAGGACUGGAAAGAGACCACAAAACUUCAGUCACGUUUUAACUGUCGAAAAAAUACCAAUAUUGUUCAUUCAGGCAACACUGAUGAAAAACAAUUUAAAGGCUCUAAAUAUGGAAAAGCAUCUGGUCACAUGAACGACUCAGCGCAGCAAAAG